UACGUAGGCAGCAAGCGUUGUUCGGAGUUACUGGGCGUAAAGGGUGCGUAGGCGGCUUUUUAAGUUUGGUGUGAAAUCUCCCGGCUCAACUGGGAGGGUGCGCCGAAUACUGAGAGGCAAGAGUGUGGGAGAGGAAAGUGGAAUUCUUGGUGUAGCAGUGAAAUGCGUAGAUAUCAAGAGGAACACCAGUGGCGAAGGCGAGUCCCUGGACGAUACCUGACACUGAGGCACGAAAGCCGGGGGAGCAAACAGG
rnacentral:rRNA from 1 species